rnacentral:rRNA from 1 species
UGGGGAAUAUUGGACAAUGGGCGCAAGCCUGAUCCAGCCAUGCCGCGUGAGUGAUGAAGGCCUUAGGGUUGUAAAGCUCUUUUACCUGGGAAGAUAAUGACGGUACCAGGAGAAUAAGCCCCGGCUAACUUCGUGCCAGCAGCCGCGGUAAUACGAAGGGGGCUAGCGUUGUUCGGAAUCACUGGGCGUAAAGCGCACGUAGGCGGAUCUUUAGGUCAGGGGUGAAAUCCCGAGGCUCAACCUCGGAACUGCCUUUGAUACUGGGGAUCUCGAGCCCGGGAGAGGUGAGUGGAACUGCGAGUGUAGAGGUGAAAUUCGUAGAUAUUCGCAAGAACACCAGUGGCGAAGACGGCUCACUGGCCCGGUACUGACGCUGAGGUGCGAAAGCGUGGGGAGCAAACAGG